rnacentral:rRNA from 1 species
UACGUAGGCAGCAAGCGUUGUUCGGAGUUACUGGGCGUAAAGGGUGCGUAGGCGGCUUCUUAAGUCUGGUGUGAAAUCUCCCGGCUCAACUGGGAGGGUGCGCCGGAUACUGAGGGGCUAGAGUGUGGGAGAGGAAGGUGGAAUUCCUGGUGUAGCGGUGAAAUGCGUAGAUAUCAGGAGGAACACCGGUGGUGUAAACGGCUUUCUGGACCAUAACUGACGCUGAGGCACGAAAGCGUGGGUAGCAAACAGG